rnacentral:rRNA from 1 species
GUUUGACCUCGGAUCAGGUAGGGAUACCCGCUGAACUUAAGCAUAUCAAUAAGCGGAGGAAAAGAAACCAACAGGGAUUGCCUCAGUAACGGCGAUGAACG